CAAAGUCAAAUAUACAGGGAAGAACGAAACUGGCACCGCAGAUUUCCAAUGCGCCUUUCGUGAAUUGCGAUUCCUUGACCGAAAUAGCCAACCCAACCCCAAGCUCUGCGCUGAGACAACGCCCAGAGCUCCCGCCACCACCACCUUCUUCGAGGACCAAUGCACAUGCUGUCUGACUCACACCACCUGCUUCCUUGGGGCAGCUCUCUGCUCGUCUUUCUUAGGCAGCUGAUAUGUUGACCAUUCAACGCCGCAGACUGCGGAGGGGGGCGGGAGGUCAACGGGCACAUCAGAACUCGCCCUCGGUGGCGGUCGGCAACGGCAGCAGAGCGCAGCCUCCUCGCGUGAGCCACUGACAUCUGCCGUCAGAAGUAAGCAAGCAGGCGGUCGCCCAGAGUUCGUGGGAGGCCGAAUGGAGCGGCCAUGCCCGUCGGAAGCGGCCACGCCCCGAUUCCGUGGCCGCCGCUGCCGCCUCCGUAUCUCCAACGCCCAAAUCCAUUCCCUCUCACGCACCCAGAAGGAACACAAAUCCAAACCUGCUCUCAGGACUCAAUAUAACAUAUGAAAUUAUAGGGAAUAAUUUGGGUAACUGUUGAAUGUGCCUAGUCGUUCUCAUUUCCAGCGAUGCAACGAGUCGAGUCUUAGUGCGUGGGACGAGGUGACAACGAAUCUGAUCUGGACGAUGCUCACGCCUCACACGUUAGGUGGGGCCACGAUGGCACCCACCGUCCGUUUCAUGUGUACCUGAAGUCGUUUCAUUCGGAGUCGUGAUUUGCUUAACAGUUAAUUCGAUUUAAAAGAGAAAGAAUCCACUUACAAUCUUUUGGAUUCAAAAUGAAAUACAUAAAAAGGAGAUGCGGGAGGACGGAAGUGGAGGCCGCAGUCUGUUCUUGGCCGUGCGAGGCGUUGCUUCUUCUCGCCCCCCUUCUUUACCUCCCUCCCU
rnacentral:lncRNA from 1 species